UACGUAGGGUGCGAGCGUUAAUCGGAAUUACUGGGCGUAAAGCGUGCGCAGGCGGCGCGUUAAGACAGGUGUGAAAGCCCCGAGCUUAACUUGGGAAUUGCGCUUGUGACUGGCGGGCUGGAGUGUGGCAGAGGGAGGUGGAAUUCCACGUGUAGCAGUGAAAUGCGUAGAGAUGUGGAGGAACACCGAUGGCGAAGGCAGCCUCCUGGGCCAGCACUGACGCUCAUGCACGAAAGCGUGGGAAGCAAACAGG
rnacentral:rRNA from 1 species